AGUGAACGCUGGCGGUAGGCCUAACACAUGCAAGUCGAACGGCAGCACAGUAAGAGCUUGCUCUUACGGGUGGCGAGUGGCGGACGGGUGAGGAAUACAUCGGAAUCUACUUUUUCGUGGGGGAUAACGUAGGGAAACUUACGCUAAUACCUCAUACGACCUACGGGUGAAAGCAGGGGAUCUUCGGACCUUGCGCGAUUGAAUGAGCCGAUGUCGGAUUAGCUAGUUGGCGGGGUAAAGGCCCACCAAGGCGACGAUCCGUAGCUGGUCUGAGAGGAUGAUCAGCCACACUGGAACUGAGACACGGUCCAGACUCCUACGGGAGGCAGCAGUGGGGAAUAUUGGACAAUGGGCGCAAGCCUGAUCCAGCCAUACCGCGUGGGUGAGGAAGGCCUUCGGGUUGUAAAGCCCUUUUGUUGGGAAAGAAAAGCAGCAGGUUAAUACCCCGCUGUUCUGACGGUACCCAAAGAAUAAGCACCGGCUAACUUCGUG
rnacentral:rRNA from 1 species